GAUGAACGCUAGCGGCAGGCUUAAUACAUGCAAGUCGAGGGGUAGCAAGAUUGUAGCAAUACAAUUGUUGACGACCGGCAAACGGGUGCGGAACACGUACACAACCUUCCUACAAGUGGGGAAUAGUCCAGAGAAAUUUGGAUUAAUACCCCGUAACAUAGCGAUGUGGCAUCACAUUGCUAUUAUAGCUUCGGCGCUUGUUGAUGGGUGUGCGGCUGAUUAGAUAGUUGGCGGGGUAACGGCCCACCAAGUCUACGAUCAGUAGCUGAUGUGAGAGCAUGAUCGGCCAGACGGGCAGUGAGACACGGGCCCGACUCCUACGGGAGGAAGCAGUAAGGAAUAUUGGACAAUGGACGCAAUUCUGAUCCAGCCAUGCCGCGUGAAGGAUUAAGGUCCUCUGGAUUGUAAACUUCUUUUAUAAGGGACGAAAAAAGGUCUUUCUAGAUCGUCUGACGGUACCUUAUGAAUAAGCACCGGCUAACUCCGUGCCAGCCGCCGCCGUAACAC
rnacentral:rRNA from 1 species